UAAAAAAAUAAUGUAUGUGUAGAGAUGUGAAGAGGACACAUUGUGAAGUUUUGCUUAAACCGACAUCGAUAUUUUUCAAAAACUAUCGAUAGUAUCCCAGCUCUACUGUAUAUACUGUGUUUAUGAAGCUUGGUAUCAUUGUCAUUUGUGAGGAUUAUUUUUUGGAGAAGGAACUGCAUCAUAAAAAAGGACAUGAUGCGGAUUGUUGUCUAUUUGACAAUAGUGGCUUUAUGUUGGCAAUUUGAAUUGACGAAUUCUCGUACUUCGACCUUAUGGAAAUUAAACGAAGACAGCGGCAAAAUAACGGGGCAUAUUUCCUCUAAUCUUGGCCAGGGGGAUAACACAUUGUUGGACGAAUUCAGCAUUCCAAUGUUUGAUGCUUCCGCUGAUGUCUAUGCUCAAGAUGAAGUAUUUUAUAUCAUCGCAUCUACUAUGGCACUGGGUACAAGCGCUGGAGCCGGUAUAACGGGUCCUGACACUGACAACGGUAUAGGAAAUGGGAGCAACAAUAGGGGUGCGGGUUAUGGCUGGGUACGAGAGUCGCCAGAAAAUUCUUUGGAAUCUCUAGGGACGGUAGCUAAACAUUGUAACGAAAGCGGCACUAUGACACAUGAGAGCAAAAAUGCAGAAGACGAAAGCAAUAGCAAAGCUGCAAUCGAGAACAGUGUGGGGCCGUCGAUUGUAACAAAUGUAGGCACUGCAUUGGUAGUGGAUGAAACCCUCGAUUGCAAGCCAGUAAAUUUCACCUAUUACGACUAUCUAAUUGGAGUGGGACAGCGAUUUAAUCAUCCGAAAAUACCAGAACCAGAGGUUGCAUACAUUUUUCUGAAAACGAAGGAUGAAAACUCUUACAAAAACUUUGACAUCACUGCACUGGAACGACGCCUUAAACGAGCCAAGCGUGAAAAGCCUAGAUCCGUACAAUUGUAUAACCAAAUCGGUAAUUACUGGCGCAUUAUAGGCGACGCACGGCAAGCUAUUGAGUGCUUUAGACGCGCUUUAGCAAUGUCGCCAACAAAUGCAGAAGUACUUCUGAAUUUAGCACGUGUACUUUACAAUCUACAAUAUCUUGAUGAUGCUAUACAUCUGACUAGAAGGUCAUUGGAGAUGCAACCACCUGGACGCUCUGCUUGGCAACAGUAUUUUACACUUGGAGAAAUAUUUAAAGCUUAUGGACAUUUCCAGGAAUCUAUUCUACACUUGCGGCACGCACUUGAACUUUACCCGCAGCACGAGCCCAUUCUGAAAGCAUUGCGAGACGUGGAGAAUAAUCCUUCAUCAACUUUGCAUGUCUACACAGUUCUCAUAAUUGUUGCCUUGUGAUAACCAGACAAACGGCCCUUACGCCUGGCGCACACGGUACUUUUUAACGCUGCUUUGCAUAGCUCGAGUGUAGUGGAAUGUAAGCGGCAACACAGUGUUAAAAACAGCUGACACGCCAGGCCCUACAUUAGGUUUGUUCUACACGGGCCCGCGGGUGCCCAAAUUAGCCCAGAGCGUUCCUCACGCAAGAAAAUGGGGAAUAGAGAGCGAAUACGUUCCACGUUUGGAUCGUAAAUAUCCUCUUCUUCGUGCCCGAAACUACCCGGACUUUUUUCCGGCUGUUGUUUGUUUACAUCCGAAAGCAAAUUCUAUAAUACAAAAAUGGAAAACACCACUAAAGUUUCAAAAAAUGUACAUAGAUUCUCCGAAAAUAGGUUCUUUCCCGAACAACCCGGACCGGAUCCGGUAAUUGGAGAAGAAGCGAAAAAUUUACUCUCAAAAAAUGGAACAAUGUCCAGAGGUACAGGAACGAAAAAAACCACAUUUCGUGCCCAGAAUUUGAGAAAUAACUGAUUCAAGUGGUUUUUGUUAUCGACACUUAAAUGCAAACACUUGAAUUGAAUUUAGGUUUCACAAAUUUGGUUGUUUUAAUAAAAAAGUAUAUAAAGAAUGAGAAUAUAUGUAAACACAGAACAGAUUAUAUGCCCGGAGAAAAAGUCUGUUUCGGGCAGGAAGAAGAAGGCACUUACGUUCCGAUACGGGAACCCGCGUUGCUUACGGGAAAGGACCUUAUAAAAAGUUCUUUCCCGUACAACCCGGACCGGAUCCGGUAAUUAGGGAAUAAUCAAAAAAUUUUCUCUCAAAAUUGGAACAAUGUCCAGAAGUAUGGGGACGGGAGAAACCAUAUUUCGCGCCAGGAAUUUGAGAAAUAGCUUAUUCAAGUGGUUUUUGUUAUCGACACUUACAGGUCUAUUCCGCGCUGGUAAUAAAAAGUUUGUAACCGGUAAAUAAAGUACCUGUC
rnacentral:misc_RNA from 1 species